rnacentral:rRNA from 1 species
CCCUUAGAUGUUCUGGGCCGCACGCGUGCUACACUGAGUGGAUCAGCGGGUCAGGUUGCGCGAAAGUGUUUCCUAAUCUUUAAAUCCGCUCGUGAUGGGGAUUGACGGUUGCAAUUUUCCGUCAUGAACGAGGAAUACCUUGUAAGCGCGGGUCAUCAUCCCGCGCUGAAUACGUCCCUGCCCUUUGUACACACCGCCCGUCGCUCCUACCGAUUGAAUGAUCCGAUGAAUAUCAUGGAUUGAGGAUGCAAGCAGGUUCGCCUGUCUUCAUCUUCGAGAAGUGAAGUAAAUCUUAUCAUUUAGAGGAAGGAGAAGUCGUAACA